GAUGAACGCUGGCGGCGUGCCUCAGACAUGCAAGUCGAACGAUUAAGACUUCCUUCGGGAAGUGUAUAAAGUGGCGCACGGGUGAGUAACACGUAAGUAAUCUACCCUCGAGUGGGGAAUAACGUUCGGAAACGAACGCUAAUACCGCAUAAUGCAGCGGCAUCGCAAGAUGACAGUUGUUAAAGGAGUAAUUCGCUUGAGGAGGAGCUUGCGGCAGAUUAGCUAGUUGGUAAGGUAACGGCUUACCAAGGCUACGAUCUGUAUCCGGUCUAAGAGGACGGUCGGACACACUGACACUGAAUAACGGGUCAGACUCCUACGGGAGGCAGCAGUCGGGAAUUUUGGGCAAUGGGCGAAAGCCUGACCCAGCAACGCCGCGUGAAGGAUGAAGUAUUUCGGUAUGUAAACUUCGAAAGAAUGGGAAGAAUAAAUGACGGUACCAUUUAUAAGCUCCGGCUAACUACGUGCCAGCCGCCGCAGUAAUAC
rnacentral:rRNA from 1 species